GUGAGGAAUAUUGGUCAAUGGGCGAAAGCCUGAACCAGCCAUGCCGCGUGAAGGAUGACGGCCCUAUGGGUUGUAAACUUCUUUUAUACGGGAAGAAACUUCUCUACGUGUAGGGAACUGACGGUACCGUACGAAUAAGCAUCGGCUAACUCCGUGCCAGCAGCCGCGGUAAUACGGAGGAUGCAAGCGUUAUCCGGAUUUAUUGGGUUUAAAGGGUGCGUAGGCGGAAAUUUAAGUCAGUGAUGAAAUCCUGCGGCUCAACCGUAGAACUGUUAUUGAUACUGAAUUUCUUGAAUACAGUUGAGGUAGGCGGAAUGAGUAAUGUAGCGGUGAAAUGCUUAGAUAUUACUCAGAACACCGAUUGCGAAGGCAGCUUACUAAACUGAUAUUGACGCUGAGGCACGAAAGCGUGGGGAGCGAACAGGAUUAGAUACCCUAGUAGUCC
rnacentral:rRNA from 1 species